CAUAGCUCGAGUCCCUCUUCUUUGUGCCACUGCUCUCUGGCUUCUCUGCUUCACUCAUCCACCUGCCCCAGUCUUCAGGAAAUGGAAUAUGAUGGAAUGAGCAAACACUGAACACAGUUUUACCUGUUUAUCUCUUGGAUCAUCACUGGAAACCUCAACUAUCCUGGUUCCUACUGCCUGGAACACAGAUGUGACGGCGGAAGUUCUGGCAGCCAUUUUCUACCAUGAGAACAAAUGCCGGAUGACG